rnacentral:misc_RNA from 1 species
AAGGACUGUUUCCCCAACAUAAAAUCUGGCCUCAUCCUCCGUCAAAAUAUCCUUGCGCAUUAACAGGGUCAUCAUAUCACCUCCAGGAAGAUAUUGCAUUAUAAGAUACAAAAAAUCAUCAUCCUGAAAGGAGCAGUAUAACUUCACAAUGUAGGCACUGUCAACCUCUGCUAAAAGAUUUCUUUCAGCUUUAACAUGUUCCACCUGCCCCCUGCGAAGCAUCUCAGAUUUCUUAAGCUUCUUCAUUGCAUACACGUGACCUGUGGCUUUUUCUCUACAAA